CGUAGGUGGCAAGCGUUGUCCGGAUUUACUGGGUGUAAAGGGCGUGUAGCCGGGAGGGCAAGUCAGAUGUGAAAUCCACGGGCUCAACUCGUGAACUGCAUUUGAACUACUCUUCUUGAGUAUCGGAGAGGCAAUCGGAAUUCCUAGUGUAGCGGUGAAAUGCGUAGAUAUUAGGAGGAACACCAGUGGCGAAGGCGGAUUGGCUGGACGACAACUGAACGGUGAGACGCGAAAAGCGUGGGAGCAAACAGGAUU
rnacentral:rRNA from 1 species